rnacentral:rRNA from 1 species
CCGUAGUAAUUCUAGAGCUAAUACAUGCAGGAAGUCCCGACUUUGGAAGGGAUGUAUUUAUUAGAUAAGAAACCAACCCGGCUUGCCGGUUGCGUGCUGAGUCACAAUAACUGCUCGAAUCGCAUGGCCUUGUGCCGGCGAUGGUUCAUUCAAAUUUCUGCCCUAUCAGCUUUCGAUGGUAGGAUCGAGGCCUACCAUGGCGUUUACGGGUAACGGAGAAUUAGGGUUCGAUUCCGGAGAGGGAGCCUGAGAAAUGGCUACCACAUCCAAGGAAGGCAG